GUCAUCGCGUUCUGGUUUGUGACAGCCGCCCGCGUAAAUUUGAAAUGGCUGAUGAUUUGCGGGCUGGUGGAGUUCUGGAACCUAUAGCUAUGGUUCCACCGAGACCUGACUUGGCGGCGGAGAAGGAACCGGCGUCCUGGAAGGAAGGUUUAUUCUUGGAUGCAGAUCCAUGCAGUGAUCAAGGCUAUCAUGCUAAUCCAGGUGCUACUGUAAAAACUCUCAUACCAGAAGGAAAAACUCCUUUUCCACGAAUUAUCCAAACAAAUGAACUUCUGUUUUAUGAACGAUUCAGAGCCUAUCAAGAUUACAUUUUAGGUUACAAAUGUGGACUUUCCAUCCCUGAAGGCGGUCGUAAGGCUUGCAGAGCCAUGCAUCUAUGAAUCUAAAUUGAGCACGUUUACCUUGGCCAAUGUGAAGGAGCUUUUGGACCUGAAGGAGUUUCAUCUGCCUCUGCAGGAGUUGUGGGUGGUAUCAGAUGACUCACAUGAAUUCCACCAGAUGGCACUUGCAAUUGAGCACGUCAGGUAGAAAGGAACACUGAUAGAAGUAACCUUGUAGCCAAAACUGCAAUUUAAUGGAAAUAAAUCUUUUUUUUUUUCUUUUCUCUUUUUUUCUUCUGUUUUCUUUCCUUUUUUGUUUUUUAAUCCUGUCUUGAGGCUUGAACCUAGGCCCUCAUACACACUAGAAAAUGUCUUUACCACUGAGCCACAUAUCCAUGCCAUAGGAAAUCUCUUAAAAAUAAAAACAAAAAUCUUGAUAUCUUAAAUUUUUAACCUGUUAUCACUUCAAACCCAGAAAAAAAAGUUGAAAAAAAUAAUACAUGAAAUUCUUGUUUAUCAUUAAAAUUCUUCAAAAGUUUACAAAAGAUAAAGAAUUCUUAAUUUGAUUCUUAUUGAUUUAGAAACUGACUUAAAAGUCAUGGAUGCUAAGGCUUGUGAUUGGUACAUUUUGAAUGUAAUAGGACAGAAAAAAACGAUGAAAGGUAAGAAAAUAAAAAAAAGUUGUAUACUACUAGUUGAAAUAGUAUACAUCAUUUUCAAGAAUAUGUCUAAGCAGAGAAACUAUUUUCUCAUUCUACGUUGAAGGUUCUUAGAGGAUGUGUUCCUGUGUCUUAUUUCUGUAGGUAGUGGUGUCCCUUUAAAUGAAAUAAUGUGUGUAAUGUCUAGAUUACUAAAUAUACUUUAUUUUUAAAAAAUAUUUUAUUUUAUGUGAAUUGGUAUUUUGCCUACAUUUUUAAAUGUACACCACAUAUAUGUGAACAUAGAGGCAUUUAGAUCUCCUGGAACUAGAGUUACAGAAUCAUUGUGAUGUCGGUGCUGGGAACUGAAACACGGGUCCUCUGCAAGAUCAGUUAGUGUUCUAAGCUGAUGAACCACCUCUUGGUAUGCUUUUAAAAUUACUUCAGAUAAAUUUUUUAUUAUAGUUCAUGUUAUAGUAUAUUUCUGUCUCUGUCUGUCUGUCUGUCUCUCUCUCUCUCUCUGUGUAUAAGAAAUUUGCUUAAAACGUAUGUAUAUCUUUAAUUGGACUCUAAAAUCUGAAUCUGAUUUGCUGAGUAAAAGAAGAAAAUUGUAUUAUUACUUAAAGACAUUUGGGUUUUUUGGGGGGAGGUAUUGUUUUUGUUGUUGUUGUUUUAAGAUGUAUUUGUUUUAUGUCUGUGAGUAUACUGUUGCUGUCCUCAGACACACCAGAAGAGGGCAUCAGAUAUCAUUACAGAUGGAUGUGAGCCACCAUGUGGUUGCUGGGAAUUGAACAGAGCACUUCUGGAAAAGGAGUUAGUGCUCUUAACCACCAAGCCAUCUCUCCAUCCCCAACAUUUGUUUUCAAGUUCUAUAUAAUCUAUGUACAUUCUAGUAUAUUUGUCCUUUGUUUUGUAUUUGUUUGUAUUUGUUUUGUAUUUUUUAAGGUAUAUAAUAUAAAUACAGCUUUUAUGUGUUGAU
rnacentral:lncRNA from 1 species